GAGAGAGAAAGAGAGAGAGAGAGACAGACAGAGAGGAGAAGGAGAACUAGACAGAAAGAGGCAGACGAGGAAAAAAGACUUUCUUUUUCUUUCUAGAGGAAUUCUGCCCAGACCCAGCAGCAGUUGGUAGCAAGCAAGCUUUCUCCUGGGUGUCUCCUGGAAAAGUUGCAAAAUUGCUCUUCACCUGUAAGAACAUGCUCUUUAUCUUCCAGUCUCUUCUUGUCAAUUUGGAAACUGCAGACAGCCUGGCUCAGAAGAGAAGACUUGGGGUUCAGAGCCGCCCCCCCUCUCCUGCAGUGGAAAUGGACUUCCCUCGGGUCGAGUACAGAACUUCCCACACAGGCGGGUGGGUGAGUGCCCUUGGCGUUGCCCUCAUUGAUCCGGCUGGACACCAGAAACAGAUAAUCUGGUGAGCAGCUGAGGCACAGACUACCUGGGCUCCCACUUAGAGGCUGAUAUAGGACUGAAGAAGCAGCUGCUCUGUCAAACCUAGAGAUCUUGAACCUGAGGGCUGUGGACAUAUUCUUUGUAUCUUCCCUGCAGCUUGGCACCAGCAUCCAAAACCAUUCCUGUCACAUGCAGACAUUCUGUUGAAAAAGUAAAUGCACGGAUGGUGUCCUGGAAGCACUCUAUGAUUAUCCCUGGUAAUUUGCUUGUCCUAAGAUCAAUGCUUAAACAACAGCACAUGAACUAGAUAACAACUCCACAGUUAUUUGUAUCAGGCAUCAGAAAAAUCUUUCUGGGAGCCUUGAAACGAGGACACCACUAUCUUAGGACUUCUAAAAGUGAAGACCAAACACAAUUUAAAUAAAAAGAUAUGUCAUAAAAGACGUACAUCAACCUCAGUAAUUAGAAUUGGAAUUCAAAGUGAAUCAAUUAAAAAAUUUCACAAAGCCUGCAUGGAAAACUGCACACUGCCCCUUUUUCAAGCUGUCCAACACUUAGGUUGCUUUGUUUCAAGUAGAAAUGGAGUGAAAAUAUGGCAGUGGGAGGAGCUACGGCACAGAAACCCAAGUCAGAAAUUGCUAACUACUGAGUCAAGCUGGUUGAUAAGAAAGCCACAGGUGCUGUACAACUUUCCGUUUAUAACCAUAGGAAGAAAAAAAUUUCAUCUCUUAAACUGAAACCUGAACAUUACUGACUCAUUCAGAACAAUGUGUGAUCUUAACACAUGGCUUCUGUGCGUUUUAUAAACACACAAUUUCACAACUGAAAGCUUUCGGGGAUUCCAUUUGCUAUGCUGAGAGACUCCCUGGAUGGAGGGGUCCUGGAAAUGCCUGAGGAACUCCAAGCAAACAGGAAGUGUGGGCAGCGCUGCACCGUGAAGAAUUGCAAAGCACAGUGCCGCGUCUAUCACAGCCGCCCACCUGGGCACCACCCAACUUUGCACGAUCUGUUUGCUCAUGUUGCAAACACAAACAAAAUCGUGUAUAUUGUGUAGUCCACAGUUGUUCCUGGUCACUCUCUGGGUUACUAAGCCAAAUUGCAUAAUGUUUAUAUUUUGAAAUCACAAACUUGUACCUCGGAAGGGCUCAUAGAGCAUUUUAAUAAAUGGUCAGAGUAACGCCCGUAAAGGAAGUAGAGGAAGGAAUUGAUGGGCUCCUGACCAUCAAAGAAGAUAGGAGACACACUUGAAGGCAGCUCUCCCAGCCAGAAUAGAUUUACCUGAAGCUAAUGGGGCUGCACAUGUUGUAACCGCUUUAGAACACCCAGCCUGCACGGGGCCUUCCACGGGCAAGAGAGGGAGGAGCUAUUUUUUGAAAGUGCCUGUUGUUUUUUCCUAAAGAGGCUCCCAAAUGUAUGUGCUUCAGCCCUCCAAAACUUGAAUCCACGCAGCCUCUGCUUUCUCUAGCCUUUCUCUGAAAUUAUGGAAAAUUCUUUUAUUAACCAUUUCAUAUAGAAAAACACUGGCAGAUACAGCGAUUUUGGGGGGCACCUUUAUGGGGCCUAGCACAGAGCCCUCCACAUUGCUGGGCUCAGUGUUCAUUUGAUAUAAAACAUUAAAUAAGUAAAAACAAAGCAUAUGGCUCGUGUGUGUGUGUGUGUGUGUGUGUGUGUGUGUCUGAUACUCAUCUUGAAUGUUUGGCUUUAGAUGUUCAAGGUUUACCAAAAAAUGAAAACAUCAGUUUUACUCCAAAGACCUGUGUGGGAGUAAAUGAACGUUUAUCUAUGAGGACCAAUGAAAAGGGACUGAGGGAGAGCCCUGAGCUUUUGUUGGAAGACUCUGGGCAAGGGCUAAUAAAAUAAUUUCCUAUCUGUUCUUGUUAUUUAGCAUACAUACCUUUAUAUUUUGUUUUAUUCAUUAGCAAACUGAAAAUCUGUGACUUUUAGAGUGAGCUAUUAUAUAUUUCUACUCAAAUACCGCUUCAAUUAAAAUAGAUUUGCACAAACUACUUUGAAUGUGUUGCAAAGCUCAUUGCACAAAGUUGACUAAGUGGAGUCAGAAGUGAAAAAUUUUAAAUGGCAAUAGCGCAUGCGCGCGCGCGCACACGCGCGCGCACACACACACACACGCGCGCGCGCGCGCGCGCGCGCGCUCCUGGUGUCUGGAUUCUGAAAUUCAAUCUGAGAAGAAAUGAGUCUGCUGCGAGAAGGCCUAUAGUUCACUUCAAGUUAAACAGUCAAUCCAAGGGCUUUCAGGUGAGGCCUCUAAGUGAUGUGUGGAAAAUUCUCAAAAUAAUCAAUUUCUUACAGAUGGUCUGUAAAUGUCCUCAUUACAUGAAGCAAGCUGCAGUGUCUACCAGCCCCUACAGUCUGUGCCCAACGCCCAUUUGUGCCCCUCUGAGUGGCUCACUUUUUAAGGCCUUAACAAUAAAACCUGACCCUCCAG
rnacentral:lncRNA from 1 species